rnacentral:rRNA from 2 species
UGCAGUCGACGACUCUGGUAUUGAUUGGUGCUUGCAUCAUGAUUUACAUUUGAGUGAGUGGCGAACUGGUGAGUAACACGUGGGAAACCUGCCCAGAAGCGGGGGAUAACACCUGGAAACAGAUGCUAAUACCGCAUAACAACUUGGACCGCAUGGUCCGAGUUUGAAAGAUGGCUUCGGCUAUCACUUUUGGAUGGUCCCGCGGCGUAUUAGCUAGAUGGUGGGGUAACGGCUCACCAUGGCAAUGAUACGUAGCCGACCUGAGAGGGUAAUCGGCCACAUUGGGACUGAGACACGGCCCAAACUCCUACGGGAGGCAGCAGUAGGGAAUCUUCCACAAUGGACGAAAGUCUGAUGGAGCAACGCCGCGUGAGUGAAGAAGGGUUUCGGCUCGUAAAACUCUGUUGUUAAAGAAGAACAUAUCUGAGAGUAACUGUUCAGGUAUUGACGGUAUUUAACCAGAAAGCCACGGCUAACUACGUGCCAGCAGCCGCGGUAAUACGUAGGUGGCAAGCGUUGUCCGGAUUUAUUGGGCGUAAAGCGAGCGCAGGCGGUUUUUUAAGUCUGAUGUGAAAGCCUUCGGCUCAACCGAAGAAGUGCAUCGGAAACUGGGAAACUUGAGUGCAGAAGAGGACAGUGGAACUCCAUGUGUAGCGGUGAAAUGCGUAGAUAUAUGGAAGAACACCAGUGGCGAAAGGCGGCUGUCUGGUCUGUAACUGACGCUGAGGCUCGAAAGUAUGGGUAGCAAACAGGAUUAGAUACCCUGGUAGUCCAUACCGUAACGAUGAUGCUAAGUGUUGGAGGGUUUCGUCCGUUCAGUGCUGCAGCUAACGCAUUAAGCAUAGCUGGGAGUA